rnacentral:lncRNA from 1 species
ACCACAAUCCUCUUCUAAAUAGCUUGCUCUUAUGUAAAUGCCAGUGUCAAGAUGGUCAGAAGGUUCUCUAGGGAGAAAAGCAAGACACUGCUGCCUUCCCACUCCCCAGUGGCUGACUUUUCUGCCUCAUAGUUAGUCUGCUGCUGCUGCUGUUCAAAGCUGGAAAAUUCCCACUGGUGAUAUAAGUACACUUGGGUCCUGAGGUUGAGAGCUGAUUUCUGCAGAUGUAUCAGCGCAGCCAGCUCAAUAGCACAUUUUCCCGGGAGGUGAUAAGACUGGUUGGGACAGUAAAUAAUUAGCUUUUCUGCCUUUGGCUAUAGAAAUGAUUAUGAAUUUUUAAGCAAUGAGAAUGAUUGAAGCCAUUUCUGUUUGCUUUCUUUUAGUUGUGUUGCAAAGUUUAGCUUCAAGAAGGAAAAUACCCUCAGAGGAGGUUGAUAGACAGGUGGGAAAAUACAAAGAUGCCAAGAGAUCAGAACUGCUCCUCCACUUUGUCUUCGAUCCACCACCUGCCUGUGCCAGAAGACACCCUUCCUGAGCUCAAGCACAAUCACUGUGCUGUAGCUACAGCAAAUACCUUAUUCUUUCUGCUGUUUCCAAUGGAACUGCAAAUCAGACCGCUCAAUGGCUGUUGACACACACUGAGAAGCCUGAUAUCAUGGCACAAGACAAAUGUGCAUUGAAAACUUCCUCAAGGUGGCAGUGAGGGCCCAGAACAAUUGGCCUAAUGUGAUGGCUGUUAAAAUGUGCAACAGUGUUCUUCCCUCAUGACACCACGAGCCAUAUUCCUUGCUGGAAAGACUGGAAUUAGAUGUGAUGGAAAGUUGGGAAUUUCUACCAAACCACUGGAAGAAGCUGAAUGAGGCUCCUUCAAGUACUUCUUCAAGUAGCAAGAAGGAGACAAAUUCCAAUGUCAGUAAAACAUCCAGAGGAAGAAACUGACCUCCCUAGCUCUUCCCAAAGUGUAACUUAAAGUGUCUUUUCUGCAAAUUACAUUGAUUUAUUUUUGUCCUUCUCUUAGUGGCCAUGGAGAACAAAUGGUGACUGUCCUCUUUAAAGCGAUUGUUUACAUAUUGAAAAACUCAUACUUUUCCCUCUAGUCUUUCUUCUAUAGACUAAACAAACUUGGUUCCUUCAACAUUUCCUCAUCACUCAUGUUUUAUAAACCUUUUAUCAUUCCUGUAGCUUUCUUCUGGCCAAUCUCCAAUUUGUAUACAUCCUCAAUUCUGCUGGGCCAUGUUUGGUCAUGGCUGACAAUCUGUCCCAAGGAAAAAUGUCACACUUCUGGCUGAGAUGUUAGAGGUCUGUUUCCAGAUUCUGCAUAUUUCCAUGGUAAGCAUUUUACAUAUCCAUAAGCAUUUCGGCUUCUGUUAGUACCACUAAAUAUAUAAAGUAAAUAAAAACAAAACAAAACCAAAACUAAAUCA